GGGGCAUUGUGUGCCACAUGCCUGGGGUCCCACCUGGGCCAGUGGGCUUCAGUCUGUAGGUGACUACGGAAGGAGGAGGAGCUCCGUCUGUUCUCUCUUCAGGCAGUUGUUGUGUCUCUCAGCGCUUGUUGGGUUCACAACCUAUUAAAUAAGCCGGCUGGUCUUCACCCUCCCAGACAAGUCAACUCAGGGGAGGCAGCAGGGUGCGGGCCUUGGCCCGCAGCCCUAGCCGGGGCCGGGGCCAGGGCUGGUGCCCCGGGCCGCGCUGUGAGGUGGGCAGGCGAGGAGCGGGAAGACCAUCUCUGCAAGUGCAGCAUAGGCUUGGCCUAGGACAGCGGGAGUGCGUGGCCAAAGCUGUGAGCAGAGGCACAGGUGGUGGCAGACAGUAGAGGUGCCCCAUGGGGAACAUACUGACCUGUCGUGUGCACCCUAGCGUCAGCCUCGAGUUUGACCAGCAGCAGGGGUCGGUGUGUCCCUCUGAAUCUGAGAUCUAUGAGGCAGGAGCUGGGGACAGGAUGGCAGGAGCGCCCAUGGCUGCUGCUGUACAGCCUGCUGAGGUGACUGUUGAAGUUGGUGAGGACCUCCACAUGCACCACAUUCGUGACCGGGAGAUGCCUGAAGCUUUGGAGUUUAACCUUUCUGCCAAUCCAGAGGCAAGCACAACAUUCCAGAGGAACUCUCAAACAGAUGCUUUGGAGUUUAACCCUUCUGCCAAUCCAGAGGCAAGCACAAUAUUCCAGAGGAACUCUCAAACAGAUGUUGUAGAAAUAAGAAGAAGCAACUGUACAAACCAUGUAAGUAAACACUCAAAUAGUUAAGAAAUUGAUAGUUUGACA
ensembl:lincRNA